GUAAUCUCUCGCAGCAGAGGAGGAACAUGGGAUCCCCAGCCAGAUGGUCCGUGGGUGACUUCACAGCACAUGUGCUACCUCCAAGAGUUCUUCAUUCCCAUGGUCCAUAUGAAGAAAAUGGACCCCAAAGGAACAAAAGCAAUAAAGAUAAAAAUUCCUUCUCCUCCCAUGGGGGUGGGAGGUGAAGAACAAAGCAAGCAAACACUCAUAAAGAAAUGUGCAGAGUUCUCUGAGGAACAAGGACCUUCCAGAGUGAUGCUUUUCCCUAGUGACAGCCUUGGCCAGGGCAACAGACAUCUGCACAAAUGCAGGGUGUUGAAGCAGCUGUUCUGAGAUGCAGUGCCUGGGAAUCUGGGAUCCACAAUGUGAACUUCUCAACAACCCCUGCACCUGCCACUUCCUUGAAUCUUCCACUAAGCACCAGAAGACACAUGCAUUUUAAAUCAAAGGAAUGGCUCCCAUGCAGAAACCAGAGUGUUAAAAUGGAUCCCUCCCACCCUGAACUCUGACUGGUUUGGUUCACCUCAAAGACCAUCCUCCUGCUAUAUGGUUUAGAUAAGUCUAAAAAGAUGAGCCAUUCAAGCCACAGUGUCUUCUAUCUCCAAGCUGGUGAGACACACUGCAGUCCUCUACAGAACAGAAGAGAGACGGUGCACAGGAUUGCUCUUGGGUAAGUUUUCUUUCUCUUAUGUAAUGAAUGGGUUACUCUUCAGCCCUUAGAAUAAAA
rnacentral:antisense_RNA from 1 species